UACGUAGGGGGCUAGCGUUGUCCGGAAUCAUUGGGCGUAAAGAGCGUGUAGGCGGUUCGGUAAGUCUGCCGUGAAAACCUGGGGCUCAACCCCGGGCGUGCGGUGGAUACUGCCGGGCUAGAGGGUGGUAGAGGCGAGUGGAAUUCCCGGUGUAGCGGUGAAAUGCGCAGAUAUCGGGAGGAACACCAGUAGCGAAGGCGGCUCGCUGGGCCAUUCCU
rnacentral:rRNA from 1 species